CACUACCUACGGGGGGCAGCAGUAGGGAAUCUUCCACAAUGGGCGAAAGCCUGAUGGAGCAACGCCGCGUGGGUGAAGAAGGUCUUCGGAUCGUAAAACCCUGUUGUUAGAGAAGAAAGUGCGUGAGAGUAACUCUUCACGUUUCGACGGUAUCUAACCAGAAAGCCACGGCUAACUACGUGCCAGCAGCCGCGGUAAUACGUAGGGGGCAAGCGUUAUCCUUAUUUAUU
rnacentral:rRNA from 1 species